ensembl:lncRNA
AUAAUAAUAUGAAAAUGAUCUUCUGGCUUGACCUGAUGCCCUGGCAGGGUUUUGUGUAUGUAGAGCACAUCUUACCUCGCUUACCUUUGCAAACUCAGACUUCCCCCAUAUAGUAACUGUAAUUUACCUUCUUCUUGCUCGCUCAAGUGGUAGCACAAUGUUCAGUGCUCCUGUCUUUGGACCCAAAGGUGGCAGGUUCAGAUAUGAGCCACUGCUGUAAUAUCCUUGAGCAAUGUACUAACCCUAAACUGCUCCAGUACAAAUUACCCAACUGUUUAAAUGAGUAAAUAAUUGUAAGUUGCUUUGGAAAAAAGUAUAUCAGCUGAGUGGACAAAUUUAGGAGGAUAUUUAAAAAAAAGAGAGGAAAAAAAGGUUUUUUGGAAAGAAAGAAGGUUGUUGAAAAAGCACUGGAAGCAAAGUCACAGAAGUCUGCACACUUCUCCUGUUGUCUGAAACUGUCAUCCAACCUUUUCCUAAAAUACCUUCUAGAUUCUUGCAUGCUGUAAAAUAUAUUUUUUCCUUUAGGGUCCAACAGACAUAAUCCAAGUGAAAAUUCUCAUGUGAUACCAGUGAUCUGCAUCGCAUCCACAGCGGUGCUUAUAGUUAUAAGUUUAAUUCUGAGAAAAAGACUGACAGACCGUUGCAGGUAACACAUUCUCUCAGUCGCUGCCUUGAUUUUUUUUGGGGGGGGGUCUGUAAUUUAUGAAAAAAAUAAUGUCUGGAUAAACGGAACAUGAAAAUACUUUUACAUAAUGCCAACAGGACACAAAGACAAUCAGCAGAAUCCUCUUCUGAGCAGGAGCUGAACGAUGUUGAACCAUACAGCAUGUUCAUACAGAAGAGUAUUGGACUCUAUUCAACCCGGACUUUCGUAAACACCUGAAACAUAGACCGGUUCUCUAAGGUUCUAAGUCUAUACAUUUCAAUGAAUUUAAAUUCACUUAACCACGUGACACAGUUCUGUUUUACAAAACUGAAAGAGAAAGUUUCACAUAUUUCAUGAACAAGAUCUUUUUUAGGUACAGAACCACCUGGGAACUUUUUGUUGAUGAACUGCUGCAAGGUGUAACAAGUAAUGUUCAUAAAUAACAAUCCACCCAUAACAGCGAUAUCUAACUUACUCAAAGCAGCCUCUGAGCAGACCCUUUGACAUUUACUCUGUGUCCUCCAACACCAGGCAGUUCUUCACUUCGGUAUCUUCUGCUUCUGAGAUCACGCUUGCAUGUAGGUGGCUGUUCAGGUACUAUGUAUUGAACGGUUAAAUUGUUUCUGAACACAGCAUCGUGGUGCAAUUAGUAGCUGUGCCACCUCACAGCACCUGAGUGGUGUGAGAGGAUGUGAGUUUGAUCCCCACUCAGUCUGUGUGGAGUUUGCAGGUUCUCCUUGUGUGUGUGUAGGGGUUUCCUCCCACAGUCCAUGCAGUUCAGGUGAAAUGGUGGUGCUACAUUGCCUUUAGACUCGGAAUGAGGGAGACACUGCGUGAGGCUGUGUCACUACUGUGUGAUGGACUGGUGUCCCAACCAGGGUGUGACCCCCUCAGCCUUUGCCCAGUGCCUCCUGGAUGGCCUCUGGUUCACCACAAACCCUGAUCAGGACAAGCAGUAAUUGACACUGGAUGGACGGAUGGAUAAACACAGCCACUGCAGUUAAAAAUUUGCUAACCCAAAGUAACUGGACCCUAAAGAUAUACAAAUGUUUAUUACACACACAACACGCAAUACAAAAAUGUGUAUAACACAUACAGCUGUGGAUUAUGAAAGAGACACGACCUGUAAAUAUGAACUCUUGCAACACAUAUGAAGCAUGUGAGAUGAAAAUAUUACGCAAGUAUUUGUUUAAAUCAAAAUAAAAACAGUCAAG